UUUGAAACCCCAUCUCUGCAGAGAAAGAGCGCUAAGAACAAAAGAUGCCGUCCAUAGGGAUAUAUUUAUAAACUUUUACAGUCCAUCUAUCUAAGACAAUAAACAGCUGUCGGCAAAGUCUGUCAGAGCAUUAUAACUUUGACAAGCUUACGUCCAUUGUUCGAAAUUUGAGUGAAAUCAAACGCAAACUGGUAGUGAUCAUAGUGCAGCGCUUUAAAACGAUUGACCAAUCAACGAUGAGAUAGCCGGUGGGUGGGAACUCUUCUCAAGAUUGACAACAAACGUGUCCAAUCGUCUACCCGGUUGGUUGACAUUGUCCAAUCGUGUGUGGGAUCGACCCGCGGUAUCCAACGACAGAGGACUUUCAGCGAGGUCGAGAGAAAAGCAUAGACGGGCAGACAUCAUUUCUCUCUCAGCGUCUUUGGACUACCCACACGAAGGCAAAGAGCCAAAAAUAAAAAUCUUUUUCUAGCAGGAAUAUAAUUAUCUAAAUUAAUUCACAUAUCUAGCAAUGGCCGAUACAGCUGUUGACACGACCGCAACUGCAGAGGUUACAGCCAAGGAGCUGAAAGAGAAGAAAGAAGUAGAAGUGGAGGAGGAGAAGACCGACAACGGGGACGCACCUGCCAAUGGCACAAAUGGUGCUGAUCACAGUGACAAAGUGGAAGAAACUGCAAAGGAGGAACACAAGAAUGGAGAUGGGAGUGCAGAGGAGGCGCCCCCUGCUGAGGAGACUGAUGCACAGCCUGUGAAGCGUGCAGCUGAGGAGGAGGAGGGGGAGGAGGAGGAGGAAAAGGUGGAGACAAAAAAGCAGAAGACAGAGGAAAAUGGAGAUUCAAAAGAGGCAGAAGUGGAGGCCUAGGUGUCUGACCUCUACUUGUUUGCGGCACUGUCUUACCAGCCUGGUCAACAUCGUGUUGUAGAGCUUGUGCUUUCUGCAUCUCUGAGAGAUUUUUCUUUUUGUUUGCUCCCAUGAUAUUACAUUGCACUGGAGUCAUGAAACAUAGUGGCCCUGCAUCCUUUUUUAUAAAAUGUUAUUUAUUGGUCUUUACAAUGAGCUUUUUUUCUACUUGUACAAAUUGGGCCACACCAUAAAUAAGAUCAGGUUGUUUUUUUUUUUAAAUUUCUUGAGGUUUUAUAUCACUAUGUUAGAAGCACAAUCUCUAUUAAGUCAGUGCUGACCAGAUUAUUUAUACAUACAGGCAGCUGCUCACCUCCUCCAAGGCUCAUGUUGACCUCUCAGAUUCACUUAAAGGACCAAAGAUAAGUUUUAAGCAGGGGCUAAUGGACAGUUGUUAGCAUUAUUAGUUGAGGCAUAAUUUUUUUUGUGUUGAGCUGCUAAUUAAUCCUUGGCUUGGCUGCCCUGUUAACCUAACAGAUGGUGCAAAUGAAUAAAGGGGCUUGGUCUUGAGCCUCCAUGAUAAGAUUGCUUGACCCUGUUUUUUAGGAAGCAGGAUUUUGCAAUGUUAAUUAACCCCUCUUAAACCUUAAAGCUUUGGUCAAUUGUUCUGUAUGCAUUCCACGCAAGUUUGUACCAUUUAUACUUCGUUUUUCUUACGUUUUAAAUGAGUUUUAUGUUAUGGCUGGGUAGCCCAGUUUUGUGUCCAAGACUGCCUUUUUCAGAACCAGAAUGACAUUCGGUUACAUCAGCCACUGCUUUGUAUAUUCUGAUUAACAAAUAAAUUGUCUUUUUACUUAAGUAUAUCGGUAGUGUGUGUAUGCUGUCUGUUUAUAGUCUAUCAGUGAUUCUCAAAACCAUGGCUUUAUAAGUAGAUGAUGUCACUUGACCCAUUUUUUUCUUAACAUGGAAAAUGGCUGGCUUAGAUGCAGGAAGGAAAAAGAAUAAUCUUUCACUUGGUAAUGGAAAAAAUUGCACUGAAUCAAUGGAUUGCUCUCUUGUAUCUCCUGGCUCCCUCAUGUGGUGUAUUUUAAGAUUGCAGCUCUUGCUCAGGUCAACUCAAUAGGAUGAUAGGUGAUUUAAAAAAAAAAAAGAUGUCCAAAAUGACAAAGUGGUUAUUUUAGUUUUAACUGAACCCUAAAUCAAAGUAGUUUUUACAGUAAUGCUAAUAUUGAACAAUAGGUGGUAUUAUGCAAAAUGUUUUUUUUUUUUAUGAUGAAAACUGCAACAACAUGGUCCGUGCAAGUAGUUUCCUCAGAAACAAUAUGGUGUGCAUCCAGUUUGUCCAAGAGACUUUAAUAGUAGGCAAUUACUGACAUUCUGCUGAGGCAGCAUUUAUGACUGGUUUUCUAAUGUUCAUAAUGUCGGGGUGCUCAAUGUGUUAGCUGGUCAAUGAAACCAUCACAAUAAAAAGUUUACCCAGUUAAACUAAAAUUUACCUUAGGCCCUGAAGUCAGGUGUGGUGCCUGUGCUGAGGAGGUACAAACGAAGGAUACUAUUUGCCAUUGCAAAACAGAUGUAAAACAUAAGUUAUACGCAACAUUUUACUGAUGAAAAAAAAAAAAUUAAGUUUGAUAUUUCCUGUGAGAAACUCAACAAAUAAGGUCAUUACUAUGCUGAGCCAAGUGUGGCAGAGCAGAAGCUGACUACCUUAAGCAUGCGCCCUAAUGAUGACAAUAAGCACUUGCUGCUGGCUCUGUGUAACCCCACAGUCUUUUCUUUCAUUGUUGUCCAGCUUCAGGGUUAGCCAUAGUUCACAUGAGUCUUCUCUCUUUUUGCUGUUCUUCUGUUUUGUUCGGUUUCCCACUGAAUGCUGAUUCACACCCCAGUUUCAACUUCUCCUCUUCCUGACAAUGACAAGAAUCACUGUCAUUAUUACAAUGGCAUGGCCAGGAGAAGGGUGACAGCUCACAAGGCUGUCCAUGGCUUAGUGAGGGCCCAGAGAGAAUUUGCCACCAGUACACAUUUCUCUGUGGUUUAGAAAGUUUGUGUAUGAGUAUGUGGGUGUGUGUCAUCUUUUUAGGUGUGGCUGUGUGCGGAUUAAGUACUUAAUGGGCAUUGUACUCACACUUAGGCCAUGAUUAAGAGUAAGCCAGCAUCAAACUGAAAUUUAGGAAUAGCACACUGACUCAUAAUGGCUGGAUUAUGUGAAAAGUGUAAUUUUUAUUUCCUGCUAAAAUGUGCACAGUGUGAAGCCCUUAAAGACUGUAAAUGUGAUUAAGCAAUGUUCAGCUGCAAGUAUGUGUUUGCUAAAGAAUGCCAAAAGACCUAUUGAAUUAAUGAGGAAACAUUAAUAGUGAGUGUGAAUGACUGCUGGCAGCACAUUCAUUUAGUAAGAAAAUCCUGCCAAAGGUGUGAUACUCUUAUGCUAACUCAGAGAAACAGGCAGGUAGACAUUCCCUUGGCCAUAUGACCAAAACAAAACAUUAAUGCAAGGCUUUUCUCAUGCAGACGUUAGGCAACUGAUAAAAGGAAGAAAAAGGAGGGAAGCUGUGGUUAGUCUAUAUAGACUGAUCAACAUUUUUACGCUAAACACCAACAAGCAAGAAAAGAUGAUGCAAGAUUUUACAGCAAAGAAUCAGACACAAAAAGAGCUUAGGCUUAUCAAUAAUCAAAGAAGUCAGACAGUCGCUCUCUAACACACACACAUACACACAAAUCCAUUUAGCUCAAACUAUAGAAAAGGUUUCACCUUCAUUUGCAAAAGUUAGAAAAAAAAAUGCAUGGGCACACACACUGUAUGAACACACUGGUCAUGUAUACACAUAUUAGAGCAGUGGCCAAUGUCUGUCUGUCUGUCUGUCUAGCUCUGAGAAGAGCAGUGCUGAUUAGUGUGAAACGAUAUAUGGAAUUGUGCUGUACAGUGUGUGGCAGCAGGUACAAUGUGCUGUGAAGGUCAACACACUCAGACACUCACAGCUUGAGUGUGUGUUGUUGAAUGUGUGUAUGAGGUAAAGUAAGAGGAUUUUCUAAAUGUGCACCAACAGUGGCUGGGUCUCGCUAUCGGGGGGCUCACCCUCAGGGGGGGGCAGCUGGUACACCACGCAGAGAGAGGAGUACACGCAGCCCACGAAUGACAUCAGGCUUGCAAAGUACAUCACUCCCUGGGCCCCACCCACCAGUGAGGUCAGAGGUCCCAUCGCCACAGAGACCAGGAUCUGAGCCAGGAAAUACUGGCAGCUGAGCAGAGAGAUGUCCACCCCCAUCCCUC
ensembl:lncRNA prothymosin alpha-like